AGCCCUUUUUAUUUUUUAUUUUGAGACAGCGUCACACUAAUUUGCCCAGGCUGGCCUCUGACUCAUGACCCGUCCUGCCUCAACCUCCUAAGUAGUCAGGUUUACAGGUAUGUGCCACUGUCCCCAGCCCCAGUGUGUUUCUUGAGUACUUACAGUGCAUCUAAUCUCAAGUAAAAUCCUCCAACUACGCACAGACAGAAGAUCAAAAAGCCUCACGCCCUCGUGUCAGGUAUGGUAGCACACACUGGUGAUCCCAGCAUUCUGGGAGGCUGAGGCAGGAGAACUGCUGGUUUGAGCCCAGCCUGGGCGAUUUGGCAAGACUCCAUCUCUAAAAAACUAACUAAAUAAAAAAGAGCUGGGAAUGAAGUUCAGUGUAAAGGCCCUGGGUUCUGUCCCCAGCACCACCACCACCAAAAAAGUAACACACCCUCAAACCGAAGGGACUCUGGGAAUGUCUGUUUCUCCGUUUCCAAUCACCCUUUAUGAAACAAGGCUUUCUUCCAUCCUCCAGAGAAACAGAGGGUGUUGGGCACCCCGAGGGGCACAAGGCAGCGGGCAGCGGAGUGGGCCCCAGGCCAUCUGGACAGUGCCCUCUGGCUUGAUGGGGACACCUGGAGUCUCAGUGGAAGGAGCCCAGGGAGGGUGAAACCCUCUUUUCCUCCUUCUUGGUCUCUGCAAACUUGGUGCAACAGUCCCCAGGGCCUGAAGUCCUGGCACACGCCCAGCCCAAGGCUCUGCUUGGUUCCGAGGGGUUUUUCAGCAGGAGGUGUAGGAGCAGCACAGCCGCACCUUUUCAGGGUGAGGGCGCGGGCAGGCUCAGUGUCACCAGGUGAGCUCCAGCCAGACAGAACUGCUGAGGGGUUAAAGCUGCCUGCCAGCUCUGGUAAGCCACGCUCGGAUCAGGUGACUUCCGCAGCGGGGACCCUGCAGCCCCGUGAGGCUUUGUCACCGCUCCGGCGCCACUGUGAGGAGGAAGAGCGAGGGGAGGAGCGCAGCAGGACAGGUGCCUUCCGGACGGAUGGGGGAGCAGCUGCGCACAGAGCAGAACUGCACCGCGCAGGGUCGGGAGGGUAGAGCGGCCCCGUGAAAGGACAAGGUCAAAGUGGGACCUUCGCGGGGAGAGUGCGAGGACAGGGGUCACGGCUGCGCCAGGGACGGGGCUGCGCGCGCGCGGGGCGGUGCUGAGGGGUGACCUGAGGCACCGUGGUCACCAGGCCUCGUUAACCCACGGCCACGCGUCAUUUGCAGGGCAAAGCACAGGGGCGGAGGAGUUCACGUGGGCUCCGGGAGCCGAGGAGGGCGGCGCUCGGGCUCCUUCAGCCACCACGGCGGGGCCAGGGCGUGGGCGUGGGGGCUCUGUGAGGACAUUCAGUCCCUAGCUGCCGUUGAGUCACAGCCUCAGUGCCGGGGCUGCGGACAGAGCGCCGGGCGGGGAGAAACCCGGGCCCAGUCACUGUUUUCCUGGGCCUGAAGUGAAGGCCCACAGUCUGCAGAAGCGGAAAGGCCUCCGGAAAUCGACGGCACAAAAUCUCAAAAACUGAGCCAAGCCAUUUGUGCUCCAAGCUCACCAAGUCCCUGGGGGCCAGUGACAGGAGUCUUGGGCCAGUGGGGACAAGCUCCACCCUCCCGGGCGUAAUGGUGACACCAGAAUGCUUGCAGCCCGCAGUCAGCCUGCCCACAGGCGCUGUGAGCUCACAGUACCGGUGCCCGGGGCGGGCCAGGGGCUCCUUCUGCGUGUGGGUCCCAGCCCCACCUCCGUCCUUGGCGGAUAGAAGGCCUGUUCUCCCUGUAUCCUCCCUUCCCCUUUCCAGGGACAGUGGUCGCACUGGAUUGAGUGGCCUAAUUAUUAGAGACAGGCGAGGGAGUCAGGCAGAGAAUGCGUCAGGACUGUGGCUGGAGGCGGCCUAAGACGCAGAGGAGGUGACCACACCUACACACCUCCCCGAGGGAUAAACAACAACUACCGACCGGUACUCUAAAUCCCCCUCCGCCACCUGCGUGGUUGACCAUCCCUCCGACGAAGGAUCCUGUUCUUUCCACCAACACCGGCACGUGACCUGCUUCCCCACCGGAUCAACAUUACCUAAGCGGCUAUCCCUGUAAUCUGAUUGGUGGAUGGUGGUUUUGUCCCACCUUGUGCCCAACUCGUGAUUUCCUUUUUUUUUUUUUUUUCCAACUCGUGAUUUCCUACCCACCUUGCGAUUUUGUUCUAAAAACUUCCUUUGAGAAGUGGGCUCGUGGGCAACCCACUCCCCAGGUCCCCGUCUCAGGCAGAAGCUACCUUUCCCUCUAAAUUUCCUCCUCUUAGCCUCCACCGUUCCUUAGAAUUCAUUCUUCAAUUUUGGGGAAGACAAACUCGGCAUGUCGGACACCUAGCGGGUCGGGAGUUGGGAUAUUUCCCCUAAAUCAUCUGGAGGUCCUCUCUCGUCCCAUGACAACCUCCUUUGCACGUGCAGAGGCCACGUGCUGACCUCCCCAAUGUGGUCCAAGGGGGUCAGGGGCACAAUCCAAUCUCUACAAGCCAGUGUAUGUGCAGGUAGCAGCACUUGGUUACAGACACCUGCUCUGGACGCGCCCUCCCUUCCCAGCACCGACUGCCCUGCAGUUGCUCACAGUCUCGCAACAUCAAAAAAGAAAGUCAUGAACCAAAGGAGGUUAGGAGACUUUGAUCAGAAAUAGGAAGAACAGCUCCUGGAUUUCCAGGAGGCCCCAAGCAGGCGGCGACCUUUGUCAGGAUCAUCUUGUACAGCAAAACUACAAUGUGAGUACAACGUAGCUCACACUACAAUCAAUCUGUAAGGUCACAAGUGCAGUCACUCAGCUAAUACUGGUCCAAUAGGGAAACAAGGAUUGCAGCAAAGUAUAGGGUGAGCAGCAUUAACUUUAGUUUAUCUGCAACUCCUUUUUCUGAUUGUUUAUUUUUUGGGGGGUGGGGGGACAGGAUCUCACUAUGUAGCCCAGGGUCUGGUCUUGAAUUUGGGACAAUCCUCCUGCCUCAGCCUCCCAGGUGCUAGGAUUACAGGCGUGCACCACCACGCCUGGUUUACCUAUAAUUUCUAAUCCUAGGAAGAAGAAAAUCAUUCCUGGAAAAGGAGGAGAGAGUGGGACCCGAGCGUCAGGUCACCCACCUACGCGGCUGAUGUCUAUCCGAGCCCAUGGACUAGGCGGCGCUAGCCACAGCACAGUCUCGAGCUCCCAGUCCUGGCUUUCCCCUCUCCACCCUGAAACGUGGCUGCUCAGAUCCGCGUGCAGCACAGUCCUGGCGUCCUUCGCAGUGAGGCCCUCAGGGCCAGUCCUCUCCGGCUGCCUGUUAACUUCCACCCAAGUUCGCUGUCUGCGGCGCAGUGAGCUGACUCCAGGGCCCAGAUCCGGGGGCAGGGCGAGCAGGGUCCAGUAGGCCCCGGAUGGGGCUCGGGGGCGGGGCGGGGCGCGGGGGGACCUGAGGGGCGACAGCACGACGGCAAGGGACAAGGGGGUCC
rnacentral:lncRNA from 1 species